GACGAACCGUGCGAACGUUGUUCGGAUUCACUGGGCUUAAAGGGCGCGUAGGCGGGCGGUCAAGUCGGGGGUGAAAUCUUUCAGCUCAACUGGAAAAGUGCCUCCGAUACUGAUCGUCUUGAGGGAGGUAGGGGCAUGUGGAACUUCCGGUGGAGCGGUGAAAUGCGUAGAUAUCGGAAGGAACGCCGGUGGCGAAAGCGACGUGCUGGACCUUUUCUGACGCUGAGGCGCGAAAGCUAGGGGAGCAAACGGG
rnacentral:rRNA from 1 species